UCUGGUUCAGGAUGAACGCUAGCUACAGGCUUAACACAUGCAAGUCGAGGGGCAGCAUUAUCGAAGCUUGCUUGAUAGGAUGGCGACCGGCGCACGGGUGAGUAACGCGUAUCCAACCUUCCCCAUAGUAGGGCAUAGCCCGUAGAAAUGCGGAUUAAUACCCUAUGUAUUCCGAGGAUGACAUCUGAUUCGGAACAAAGGUUCACCGCUAUGGGAUGGGGAUGCGUCUGAUUAGGUAGUAGGCGGGGUAACGGCCCACCUAGCCGACGAUCAGUAGGGGUUCUGAGAGGAAGGUCCCCCACAUUGGAACUGAGACACGGUCCAAACUCCUACGGGAGGCAGCAGUGAGGAAUAUUGGUCAAUGGGCGAGAGCCUGAACCAGCCAAGUAGCGUGCAGGAUGACGGCCCUAUGGGUUGUAAACUGCUUUUAUACAGGGAUAAAGUCGGGGACGCGUUCCCCGUUUGCAGGUACUGUAUGAAUAAGGACCGGCUAAUUCCGUGCCAGCCGCGGC
rnacentral:rRNA from 1 species